rnacentral:snRNA from 1 species
AAUCACUUUAAUAUCUGAUACGUCCUCUAUACAAGGGCUACAUAUUAAAUAGAUUUUUAAAACAGGGAGACGGAAUAGGGGCUUGCUCCGUCCACUCCACGCAUCGACCUGGUAUUGCAGUACUUCCGGGAACGGUGC